rnacentral:rRNA from 1 species
CCAAUAGCGUAUAUUAAAGUUGUUGCAGUUAAAAAGCUCGUAGUUGAAUUUCGGGAUUUGUCAGUUGGUCGGGCUUAACUGUCCGUAUUGACUUGAUGGAUUCUUACCUUCUGAAUAACCAGCAUGCUAUUAAGUUAGUGCGUUGGGGAAGCAGAUCUAUUACCUUGAAAAAAUUAGAGUGCUUAAAGCGAGCUAGUGCUUGAAUAGAUUAGCAUGGAAUAAUAAAAUAGGACGGCAUGGUUCUAUUUUGUUGGUCUCUAGGAUCACCGUAAUGAUUAAUAGGGAUAGUUGGGGGCAUUAGUAUUCAAUUGUCAGAGGUGAAAUUCUUGGAUUUAUUGAAGACUAACUUCUGCGAAAGCAUUUGCCAAGGAUGUUUUCAUUAAUCAAGAACGAAAGUUAGGGGAUCGAAGACGAUCAGAUACCGUCGUAGUCUUAACCAUAAACUAUGCCGACUAGGAAUCGGACGAUGUUAAUUUUAUAAUGACUCGUUCGGCACCUUACG